CAUACUCAGGUAGCUGAACUCAUUCUGACUGAAGUUAACACCUGAGUAAUGUAUUAGCCAGAUGAAUCUGGCUAAUGCAGAGAGUAAUUAGUCAGAGGAACAUAGAGCUCCAAGAAUGGUGUCUUGCCACAUUAUUGUCCUGAACGUGCUGAUGUUACAUGAAGCUGGAGAAGGAAGCUGCCUGGAAUGUGUCCUUUUAAAACCAGUCUUCAUUUUAAACAGAUGAAAUAUGGGUUCUGUGGUUUAUUUAAUUUUUGGUUCCUCAGUGCAGGAAUUCAGGCUAAUAUCCUAAGGUAGCAGAAGUUCUUUAAUGUAUAGACAUACAGAACCUUGUGAGUAUUGCAAUUCUUUAACUGUAAAACUGGCUAUAGGUUUCACUGGAUUUCAGAAAUGGAAGUUUCACUAAACUGAAGUAAAUCCAUAUCUUUACUUAUUUGUGUCUGCAUACAUAUGGAGAGAGACAUAUACAUAUUACAUGUAUUUAAACAUAUAUGUCUGCAUGCAUAUAUAUUUCUGGAAUAUAUUAGAAUUACAAAUCAAGAGUGAACUGAAAAAUGAGAUGUCUUUCUGUAUUUGCAGGUCUGAACUGAUAGCCCUGAUUAUCAAAGACAAAAUCCUUUGACUUUAAUUUUCAGCAUUAUAGAAUUUGGCAUUUCCCUAAAUAUACUGCAGUUCUCUCAUUCCUGCUGAAUGCACCAUUUUGCUGCAGCUAUGCACCUACAUACGAGUGUCUGUGUAUGUGCGUAUAUACAUACAUACAAAUAGAUUCAUUGUUGUUAUCUCCUUGAACUGUUGCAACCCAUGUUUCUCUGGCUGCAUUUCACAACAGCAGUUGUUAGCCUCACUCCAUUGUCUUGGCUGUCAGAAGUAGAGCCUAUUUUGCAAUCAAGCAGCUGCAAAUCUGUCUCAGUGAUUGGAAGUCUUCUUUUGAUCCGUCACUUUUCCCAGGCAAGUCCUCAAAAUUCAUACUGUAUUUGAGAUACUGCAAGAACCUUGGACUGCAAUAACAGCUGUGAUUUUGACAGCUGAAAGCAUGCAGUUGGGCAGGUCUGAAGUACAUGAGAAGAAAACUGCAUUUUCAGAUGUUGAGUUGUGAUCUGAUCUCUCUUGCAUUUUCUUUCCCUUGUAUUUCUUUCUACCAUGUCAGUCAGGAGGUCAGGGUGGAGUAGCAGCUUACACUGUGAAGGUGAUUAAUGGCAGAUUUGUAAUUGCAAAGUCUGGGUGUGCGUGUGUGUACGUGCGCAUGCAUAUUGCUAAGCUAAAUCAAGGUGUUUAAUUCAUAAGUUUUCUUGUGAUUUGCAUUCACAGAAGGCUGGAUGUCUCAAAAUGUUUGUGACAGUUUCUGCUUCCUUAACGUCAUUUCCUUUUCCACCAAAAGGCACAUUAAUUUUCCUUCUGUAGGAGAGGAGUUUGAAAGUUGUGAAGGGCAUUAUCUUUCUUCCAGACUUAUCUUUCUUCCACAAAAUGUUAAGACAAUUUUAUACCUCACUGAUACAAGUUCCACACUACAUAUUGUUUGCCUUUCUCUCUCUCUCUUUUUUUUUCCCCCCUUCAUCUUGCUUCUGAGGGCAAGUUCAAUUACUGAUUCUAAGCUCCUUGGCAUGUAAAUAAGACUUGUGUCUUCUCUGAAAAAGAUUACAAUUUCAGUACAGCAGGCAGAACAAUAUAGGGCAUCCAGAUUUUCGAUGAGCUUGGAAGAGAAGGAGAAUUGCUUAAUCUAGGAUCUCUAAGAAAAUAACUUGAAAGGGCAGUGAGGAUGGUAAGGAUUUGAUGCAUAAAGAGUCUGGAUAUGAGACAACAGCUUGAUAGAAGAUGCAACAGUUGGAUCAGGAAGGGACUAAGAAGUAAGAAAGACAAGUGGGCAUGAAGACUUUACAUUUUUGUUGGGAAACUCUUUCUGAGUUAAAGAAAGAAAGAAAUGUCAUUAUUAUUAUACUCCAGGUAGUGAGGGAAAGCUUAGAGCUAAUGCUGCAGGGGAAAACAAGGCAAGAAAGAGACUAGAAUAGCUGAUGUUUUCAUCGCAUGAUAGAGAUCUGUGGUCAGCAGCAGGAAAUUAUAUCAGAUCAUAUUCAAAGAAUAGAAUAUCAGAUGUAAUGAGGAAUGUAGAAAUGUAUUAACGUUUCCCCAUUUUCACUGUCUGCUGAGUAAACCACCAAAAGUGCAACAAAAAUAAAGCAUAAAUUAAAAAUAAACCAAAUCCAAACUGCUGAAUCAUUUAAGGAUUAUUUCCACCAGCAUCUUAGACUAAUGUUUGGAUUAUUCCUUUCUAUGUGGAAGCCUCAUGGCUUGCACAACACAAGGUGAAAAAAAUGGAAAGUUUCACUUUUUUCCUUACUGAGAAGAAUGUUCUGCUACAGAGUGCAUCUGCAAGAGGAAACUGAAGCCUCAUUUUUCAGCAGCUGUAUUUUCCUGAGCAUGCUUGAACUUACUAGCAUUGAUGCAGCCUACAAAUCUUACAAGUGAUGUCCUGAAAACCCAGAAGAUAAUUAGCCACACUCUUCACUGCUGUAAUAUCAGCAAAAUGAUACAAGUCCAAUUAAACCAAAGUAAAAUAAACUACUGAAAAACUGCAUAAACACCAUAAACUGGUCUUUCCAAACACAGAAAAAACAUCGCAGCUGCUGUGGUCCUGGUGCAUACAAACCUGUGAUGAGGUCAGCUUUCCACAUUUCUGCAUACGAUUCCAAAGUGGACCAUUUUAAGGAACCAAAAAAGACCAAUCCUGGCCCUGGAGCAUACCAGAUUUGUCGGUCACUGCUAUUUGAGACUGUAAUCUUUUGGAAGGUUUUUCUGCUUCAAGAAUAAAGCUGCAUAUGGCUACACCACUUAUUUCAUAUUUAGGUGAUGCUCCUGAUGGAGGAAGAUGGGGAUGGCACUGGAUUCUGUGACAGAAGGAAAGAGUGCAGGAAAUAACUCCCCAGUUCGCUUGAUUUUUACCUGAUGAUUUACAAGUUUCCAUGGAAAUAAAUAGGAGGCAAUACUUUCAAAACAGCCUACAUAUCUGCAACAAAUUUUGCUGGGAAAUUCUCAGUAUCACCUCUUGGAUAAACUCAGCAUGCUGAGUGUAAGGCUUUCAUAAAGAUUACAAUGUAAACAGACAGUGCAAUCUCAACCUGCCAUCAGAUGUGCUGCAUUUGUAUUGUGAGUACAUUUUUAGAGAAAUGCGUUGUACUGUUUAUUUUUGAAACACUAAUAAAUAGUACCAUGGUA